rnacentral:rRNA from 1 species
CCUACGGGUGGCAGCAGUGAGGAAUAUUGGUCAAUGGACGAGAGUCUGAACCAGCCAAGUAGCGUGAAGGAUGACUGCCCUAUGGGUUGUAAACCUCUUUUAUCAAGGAAUAAAACGAGGCACGUGUGCCUUUUUGCAUGUACUUUAUGAAUAAGGAUCGGCUAACUCCGUGCCAGCAGCCGCGGUAAUACGGAGGAUCCGAGCGUUAUCCGGAUUUAUUGGGUUUAAAGGGAGCGUAGAUGGGUUGUUAAGUCAGUUGUGAAAGUUGGCGGCUCAACCGUAAAAUUGCAAUUGAUACUGGCAGUCUUGAGUACGGUAGAGGUAGGCGGAAUUCGUGGUGUAGCGGUGAAAUGCUUAGAUAUCACGAAGAACCCCGAUUGCGAAGGCAGCUUACUAAACUGUGACUGACACUGAUGCUCGAAAGUGUGGGGAUCAAACAGGAUUAGAUACCCCAGUAGUC